rnacentral:rRNA from 1 species
UACGUAGGGCGCAAGCGUUAUCCGGAAUUAUUGGGCGUAAAGAGCUCGUAGGCGGUUUGUCGCGUCUGCCGUGAAAGUCCGGGGCUCAACUCCGGAUCUGCGGUGGGUACGGGCAGACUAGAGUGAUGUAGGGGAGACUGGAAUUCCUGGUGUAGCGGUGAAAUGCGCAGAUAUCAGGAGGAACACCGAUGGCGAAGGCAGGUCUCUGGGCCGAUACUGACGCUGAGGAGCGAAAGCCAGGGGAGCAAACGGG